AUUGUCUACAUCAUUCAACUUUAUUCUGUUGAAUGGUGUAGGGGGGGGGGGUGGGAAUAGGAGACAGUGUUUUUAUCACUCUGUUUCCAAACUGGAUAAAUCAUCCUAUUUACCAGACAUAACAGAUCCUUCUUCUGUUCCAGCUCUUUCUGAAGUUGUUUUUCCUCUAGAGAGGGAGAAUUGUAGCCCCAAACUUCAUACAGAAGGAUCCAGGGUAUUCAAGACCUCAAGGGUCAUUCAGACCCCAGCUAAGACAGACCAUCACUCUAGCAUAUGAGGAUUGUGUUCAAAAUCAAUCAAAUCUAGGGCUUUGUGGAUCUUGGGAGGGGUACAGAAGUGGCAAUUCCAGUUCAAUGAAGGACCCUACACUGUUGAUGAAAUAUCAUUAUUCCUCUUCGCAUCUUUCCAGUCAUUUUCAUCACGACUUGUACUGAUUUCGUGCCUGGAUGGGAUUGAAAGCUGUAUUCUCUCCACCACUGUGACCAAAACAUUUCUCCAUAAGCUGAUCAAGUUGAUGUGCUGGCAGGGGAAUAAAGGAAACUUCAGAUCUGAGCAGCUGGAAGGGGCCGUCAAAAAGUCACUGCUGUCAACUACCCAUGGAAAAAUGCCCACUCCCAUCAGAGCAUCCCCACCGCAGCUGGUCAGAGCCAGCUGACACUGAAGACAUCGUCUCCAAAAAGGAUGGUUCAAGAAGGAAGCUGAGGAGCUCAGACAUCAAGAAAAGCCACCAUGGGUGAUUUUAUUUGUUCUGACGUGUCAAAAUCCAGUAAGUCUUUUUGUUCAAUUUUAAGCAGAAACGUCGUAGAUGUUGACUGAGUAACUUUGCAGACAAACUUGCAUCUUCACUGAACCAGAAGGUUUCUCUUAUUCACACCAAUAUGGACACACCAGGAACACUGUAAGAAACUGCAUUUAGGAGAAGGUUCCAUUGAGCAAACUCAAUGUGCACUUAGUUCACAUAAACCCUGGAGAGCCAACCAGUGAGACCUCAAAGUCCAAUGUAAUUUGCAGGCUCAUGUAUCCCAAACUUCACUGCUCUCUUUCAAAUGGAAAAAAAUGAGGCAAAAUGAUCUGCUGUGGUUCCAGAAUCGGUGUACAGUCUUUGCCAUGGUGUGAAGAUCUUGUUUGGUUCUUGGAAGUAAAUGUACAUUCUAAUGUGUUGUUUAAUCUGUGCAGAGGUAUCUAAAUGCUUAAGAAAUGAGGUGGACGUCAUCCAAGUGUAAUUUGAGGGGAGCCGGUGGGA
rnacentral:lncRNA from 1 species